AUGUCCGGAGGCGCGCCUCCGUCGUCUACGUCGACCACCGUGGUCGGUUCGAGCAAGACCGUCCCGGGCAGACCGGAUCGAGUCACUACAUCCCCGUCAAUCACCGCCGUCGGCCGCCUCGAUUCAUCGCCGUCCUGCACUUCUAAGCCUCCGAAGAGCCUCCAUGAGCUCCGUCGACCCCGUGGCGGCUGCCGAUGCCGCUAUGUUCGACUACUUCACCGACGACCCUCCUUGUCUAAGCAACCAGAUGGUGGAGCCCAGGAUCCAGAUGACCCCACCGAUGACUGCUACUACCCCGAGGGUGCCUACUACCACGUGGAGACCGCCGACAACCAGGAGUAG
rnacentral:rRNA from 1 species